rnacentral:rRNA from 1 species
GACGAACGCUGGCGGCGUGCUUAACACAUGCAAGUCGAGCGGUAAGGCCCUUUCGGGGGUACACGAGCGGCGAACGGGUGAGUAACACGUGGGUGACCUGCCCUCAGCUCUGGGAUAAGCCUGGGAAACCGGGUCUAAUACCGGAUAUGACUCCAUGACGCAUGUUGUGGGGUGGAAAGCCUUGUGCGGCUGAGGAUGGGCCCGCGGCCUAUCAGCUUGUUGGGUGGGGUGANGGCCUACCAAGGCGACGACGGGUAGCCGGCCUGAGAGGGCGACCGGCCACACUGGGACUGAGACACGG